rnacentral:tRNA from 1 species
GUCCGAGUGCUGGAAUUGGUAGACAGGGUAAUCUUAAGCAUUACUGAUAUAACAUCGUGAACGUUCAAGUCGUUCCUCGGAUA